GCCUUCAUAACUCAGUGGUUAGAGUACUGGUUUUGUAUUCCAGGGGUCGUGAAUUCGAUCCUCACUGGAGGCU